rnacentral:tRNA from 4 species
GGGGCAUUAGUCAAAAGGUAAGACAAUGGAUUUUCAUUCCAUGAGUAUCGGUUCGAGUCCGUUAUGCCCUA